GCAGCCGCGGUAAUACGUAGGGAGCGAGCGUUAUCCGGAUUUAUUGGGUGUAAAGGGUGCGUAGGCGGUUUGAUAAGUCUGUGGUUUAAUCCCGAAGCUUAACUUCGGUUCGCCACAGAAACUGUCUUACUUGAGUAUGGUAGAGGCAAGUGGAAUUUCUAGUGUAGCGGUUAAAUGCGUAGAUAUUAGAAGGAACACCAGUGGCGAAGGCGACUUGCUGGGCCAUCACUGACGCUGAGGCACGAAAGCGUGGGGAGCAAAUAGGAUUAGAUACCCC
rnacentral:rRNA from 1 species